rnacentral:rRNA from 1 species
UAGCGUUAUUCGGAAUUACUGGGCGUAAAGCGCACGUAGGCGGCUGUUCAAGUCAGAGGUGAAAGCCUGGAGCUCAACUCCAGAACUGCCUUUGAAACUAGAUAGCUUGAAUCCAGGAGAGGUGAGUGGAAUUCCGAGUGUAGAGGUGAAAUUCGUAGAUAUUCGGAAGAACACCAGUGGCGAAGGCGGCUCACUGGACUGGUAUUGACGCUGAGGUGCGAAAGCGUGGGGAGCAAACAGG